rnacentral:misc_RNA from 1 species
UCACGUCUUACGACGGCAGUUUCACUAGAGUUCCCAGCGUUACCUGAUGGCAACUAGUGAUGGGGGUUGCGCUCGUUGCGGGACUUAACCCAACACCUCACGGCACGAGCUGACGACAGCCAUGCAGCACCUGUGUUCCGAUUCCCUUUCGGGCACUCCCACCUCUCAGCAGGAUUCCGGACAUGUCAAGGGUAGGUAAGGUUGUUCGCGUUGCAUCGAAUUAAUCCACAUCAUCCACCGCUUGUGCGGGUCCCCGUCAAUUCCUUUGAGUUUUAACCUUGCGGCCGUACUCCCCAGGCGGUCAACUUCACGCGUGAGCUGCGGCACAAGAGGGGUCGAUACCUCUUACGCCUAGUAUCCAUCGUUUAGGGCGUGGACUAC